rnacentral:rRNA from 1 species
CAGGAUGAACGCUAGCUACAGGCUUAACACAUGCAAGUCGAGGGGCAGCAUAAUCGAAGCUUGCUUGAUUGAUGGCGACCGGCGCACGGGUGAGUAACGCGUAUCCAACCUUCCCCUUAGUAGAGGAUAGCCCGGCGAAAGUCGGAUUAAUACUCUAUGUUUUCCGAAGAUGGCAUCUGAUUUGGAACAAAGGUUUACCGCUAAGGGAUGGGGAUGCGUCUGAUUAGGUUGUUGGCGGGGUAACGGCCCACCAAGCCCACGAUCAGUAGGGGUUCUGAGAGGAAGGUCCCCCACAUUGGAACUGAGACACGGUCCAAACUCCUACGGGAGGCAGCAGUGAGGAAUAUUGGUCAAUGGACGUAAGUCUGAACCAGCCAAGUAGCGUGCAGGAUGACGGCCCUAUGGGUUGUAAACUGCUUUUGUACGGGAAUAAAGUCAGGGACGUGUCCCUGUUUGUAUGUACCGUAAGAAUAAGGACCGGCUAAUUCCGUGCCAGCAGCAGC